rnacentral:rRNA from 1 species
UACGAAGGGGGCUAGCGUUGCUCGGAAUUACUGGGCGUAAAGAGCUCGUAGGUGGUUUGUCGCGUUGUUCGUGAAAACUCACAGCUCAACUGUGGGCGUGCGGGCGAUACGGGCAGACUGGAGUACUGCAGGGGAGACUGGAAUUCCUGGUGUAGCGGUGGAAUGCGCAGAUAUCAGGAGGAACACCGGUGGCGAAGGCGGGUCUCUGGGCAGUAACUGACGCUGAGGAGCGAAAGCGUGGGGAGCGAACAGG